rnacentral:tRNA from 1 species
UCUAGCGCAAUGGAUAGCGCAUUGGACUUCUAAUCUAAAGGUCGUGGUUUGAAUCCCACUUAGAA